rnacentral:rRNA from 1 species
AGCGAACGCUGGCGGCAGGCUUAACACAUGCAAGUCGAGCGGGCACUUCGGUGUCAGCGGCAGACGGGUGAGUAACACGUGGGAACGUACCCUUCGGUUCGGAAUAACGCUGGGAAACUAGCGCUAAUACCGGAUACGCCCUUUUGGGGAAAGGUUUACUGCCGAAGGAUCGGCCCGCGUCUGAUUAGCUAGUUGGUGGGGUAAUGGCCUACCAAGGCGACGAUCAGUAGCUGGUCUGAGAGGAUGAUCAGCCACACUGGGACUGAGACACGGCCCAGACUCCUACGGGAGGCAGCAGUGGGGAAUAUUGGACAAUGGGAGCAAGCCGGAGCCAGCCAUGCCGCGUGAGUGAUGAAGGCCUUAGGGUUGUAAAGCUCUUUUGUCCGGGACGAUAAUGACGGUACCGGAAGAAUAAGCCCCGGCUAACUUCGUG